rnacentral:rRNA from 1 species
AAGCGGAGGAAAAGAAACCAACAGGGAUUGCCUUAGUAACGGCGAGUGAAGCGGCAAAAGCUCAAAUUUGAAAUCUGGCACCUUCGGUGUCCGAGUUGUAAUUUGAAGAAGGUAACUUUGGAGUUGGCUCUUGUCUAUGUUCCUUGGAACAGGACGUCACAGAGGGUGAGAAUCCCGUGCGAUGAGAUGCCCAAUUCUAUGUAAAGUGCUUUCGAAGAGUCGAGUUGUUUGGGAAUGCAGCUCUAAGUGGGUGGUAAAUUCCAUCUAAAGCUAAAUAUUGGCGAGAGACCGAUAGCGAACAAGUACAGUGAUGGAAAGAUGAAAAGAACUUUGAAAAGAGAGUGAAAAAGUACGUGAAAUUGUUGAAAGGGAAGGGCUUGAGAUCAGACUUGGUAUUUUGCGAUCCUUUCCUUCUUGGUUGGGUUCCUCGCAGCUUACUGGGCCAGCAUCGGUUUGGAUGGUAGGAUAAUGACUAAGGAAUGUGGCUCUACUUCGGUGGAGUGUUAUAGCCUUGGUUGAUACUGCCUGUCUAGACCGAGGACUGCGUCUUUUGACUAGGAUGCUGGCAUAAUGAUCUUAAGCCACCCGUCUUG